rnacentral:rRNA from 1 species
UACGAAGGGGGCUAGCGUUGCUCGGAAUUACUGGGCGUAAAGCGCACGUAGGCGGCUUCUUAAGUCGGUGGUGAAAUCCUGGAGCUCAACUCCAGAACUGCCUUCGAUACUGGGAAGCUCGAGUCCGGGAGAGGUGAGUGGAACUGCGAGUGUAGAGGUGAAAUUCGUAGAUAUUCGCAAGAACACCAGUGGCGAAGGCGGCUCACUUGCCCGGUACUGACGCUGAGGUGCGAAAGCGUGGGGAGCAAACAGG